AAACAUUAGAAAUAUAUACUUAUGUAUAUAUAAUUAAGUAUUUAAAGUAGUUAUUUAAGUUUUAAAUACGUAUUGUUAGAUACCAUAUCAAAAUAAAUAUGAAAUUGAAUAUUUGAAGUAUAUAUUCAUGUUUCGUAUAAUUAUAUUGUAUAUUAGUUUCGAUAUUCGGAAUGAUUUCUUUAGAUAUUUUUUUCGGAGUUUUUG
rnacentral:lncRNA from 1 species